UACAGAGGGGGCAAGCGUUGUUCGGAAUUACUGGGCGUAAAGGGCGCGUAGGCGGCCUUCUAAGUCGAACGUGAAAUCCCCGGGCUCAACCCGGGAACUGCGUCCGAUACUGGAAGGCUUGAAUCCGGGAGAGGGAUGCGGAAUUCCAGGUGUAGCGGUGAAAUGCGUAGAUAUCUGGAGGAACACCGGUGGCGAAGGCGGCAUCCUGGACCGACACUGACACUGAGGAGCGAAAGCCAGGGGAGCAAACGGG
rnacentral:rRNA from 1 species